rnacentral:lncRNA from 1 species
UUUUUUUACAUCAAACCACUCCUCUUCCCUUCCUCUACUCGAAUCCGGUAUUAGUUUUAAAAAGGGUAGAGAAAUUUGAGCUAGAUCUACAAAUUUAGUUUCAAAAAAAACUUCAUACAAAACACAAAACCAUUACCUCUUUUUCCGAUCUCCCUCUCUUUGUUUGAAUCCGGUCCGGUUCUCCUCCUUCUUCUUCGCGACCUCACGCAGAUUCCAAGUUUGGAUCUGCUCUCUCUCCGAUUCGGUUCCGGCGCGCCCCUUUUGCUCCGGUUCGGUUUGCUUUGUUUUGUUAUGUGUUGAUUUGAGUUGGUUUUGUGAAUUUGUGCUGUUUAUGUUAACAAAUGUUCAUGAAUGUUGUUGGAGAGAGAGAAGGAAAUUGUGUUUGUGACUUGAUUGGAAAAAAUGUGUGGUUGCUGAUUUUUCUGUGAACAGUGAUUUUUUCUCUGGCCCAUUUCCCAAUGAUUGACAGGCUUUUAUAGUGACAAAUUAGGGUUGGCUCUGGUACAAACAAAUGACAAAAAUACCCCUGCAGCUGAGACUUGGGGAAAAAGAUUUG